rnacentral:rRNA from 1 species
UUCGACACACUAUCAUUAACUGAAUCCAUAGGUUAAUGAGGCGAACCGGGGGAACUGAAACAUCUAAGUACCCCGAGGAAAAGAAAUCAACCGAGAUUCCCCCAGUAGCGGCGAGCGAACGGGGAGGAGCCCAGAGCCUGAAUCAGCAUGUGUGUUAGUGGAAGCGUCUGGAAAGGCGCGCGAUACAGGGUGACAGCCCCGUACACAAAAGCGCAUGUGCUGUGAGCUCGAUGAGUAGGGCGGGACACGUGGUAUCCUGUCUGAAUAUGGGGGGACCAUCCUCCAAGGCUAAAUACUCCUGACUGACCGAUAGUGAACCAGUACCGUGAGGGAAAGGCGAAAAGAACCCCGGCGAGGGGAGUGAAAAAGAACCUGAAACCGUGUACGUACAAGCAGUGGGAGCCCCACCACUAAGCCAGUGGUGAACUCCACAUACGCAUCCUUUGCUGAGGAUACGGUUAACGGAGCGAAAGCGACGUUCAACCGCAAAAGAAGCAGAGGGGGCUUAGUGGUGGGGUGACUGCGUACCUUUUGUAUAAUGGGUCAGCGACUUAUAUUCUGUAGCAAGGUUAACCGAAUAGGGGAGCCGGAGGGAAACCGAGUCUUAAUUGGGCGUUAAGUUGCAGGGUAUAGACCCGAAACCCGGUGAUCUAGCCAUGGGCAGGUUGAAGGUUGGGUAACACUAACUGGAGGACCGAACCGACUAAUGUUGAAAAAUUAGCGGAUGACCUGUGGCUGGGGGUGAAAGGCCAAUCAAACCGGGAGAUAGCUGGUUCUCCCCGAAAGCUAUUUAGGUAGCGCCUCGUGAAUUCAUCUCCGGGGGUAGAGCACUGUUUCGGCUAGGGGGCCAUCCCGGCUUACCAACCCGAUGCAAACUGCGAAUACCGGAGAAUGUUAUCACGGGAGACACACGGCGGGUGCUAACGUCCGUCGUGAAGAGGGAAACAACCCAGACCGCCAGCUAAGGUCCCAAAGUCAUGGUUAAGUGGGAAACGAUGUGGGAAGGCCCAGACAGCCAGGAUGUUGGCUUAGAAGCAGCCAUCAUUUAAAGAAAGCGUAAUAGCUCACUGGUCGAGUCGGCCUGCGCGGAAGAUGUAACGGGGCUAAACCAUGCACCGAAGCUGCGGCAGCGAC